UUUCCGUAGGUGAACCUGCGGAUGGAUCAUUAUUGUAUAACCGAGGUGCGAGGGCUCUCGCUGACCCGAAAGGUCGUGCACGCCCGAGUGCCCUCACACACAUCCAUCUCACCCCUAUGUGCACCACCGCGUGAGUCCCCCUUUGGCUUGUUCGGAGGGGGGCUGACGUUUUCACACAAACUUUGUAUGCAGUGUAGAAUGUAUUUUUUGUUUUUGCGAUCACGCAAUCAAUACAACUUUCAACAACGGAUCUCUUGGCUCUC
rnacentral:misc_RNA from 1 species